UUGACUUGAGUUUUACCAAAAACCAGAGCACAAAAGCAAAGACAGGACAGAGAAGAGAGAUACAUGUCAACGAACAUCAACACCACUACUUCUCCAUCGCUCUUCAACUCCCCUAAUCAUAUCCUUAAUUUAUUACAUAUACAUAUAUAUAUUUAAGUUACUAUAUAUAUAAAUAAUACAAUUAAAUUAGAUAUAGUUGGUGAAUUUCUUAGUACAUAAUCUUCUGGUGAAGGGGAGGCUUUUUUUGUUGUUGUCUUUGGGUGGUCUAUUAGUCGUUGAGCUUUCAUUAUCUCAUUCAGAUCAAUUGGGUAGUUUCUAAUUUUUUACUCUAAUUCAAGCUAACCUAAUUGGCUUCAAUCUUCCUUUCCUUUCCAUGUAUCUUAAACCUUAGUUUUCUACUCUAAUGGGUUUCUUCCUAUUGUCUUUGAUUAUUCGUUUUCGAUUGCAACAACUAAGCUCCGAGGUCAAACUGUCCUGGGUUUGAAUUUUUUUUUUGGGGGGAUGGGAUGCCCGGAUUCUGAUAUGGUGGCCAAGAGAAAUUUGGGUUUUGGGUGCUUUUCCAAGAGGAGAUUAGGUUUAUUGAAUUGGGUCGUCUUUGGAUUUUGGCUUGCGUUACUGCUUUUGCAGCCGGUGGCUAGUGUCAGACCCUUGCGAGAGAGAGCUCGUUCUUGGGGCGAUGAGUGGUUAUUCAGAGGAAAAGAUGAAAGUGACUUGGGUCCAUUUUCUGCAUGGAAUAUAACUGGAACUUAUAGAGGGACUUGGAAGUUUCUAGAUUCUGCAAAUAGCUCUUCCAAAUUUCCUGAUUUCAGGAAAUCCUCCGGAAAUUCUGUAAUUGAGUUAGUUAGUGCACCAACAAAAAUAAUGGGGGUACACUAUGUGCAGGGAAUAAUCAUUUUUCAAGAUGUGUUUGAAAAUGAAAACAGCGUUAAUGGUGUUCAAAUCAGAGUGGAAGGCGUAUAUAUAUGGCCAUUUAGACAACUUCGAAUAGUAGCUAACAGUCCAAAAGAUGGAGAGUCGAACCAAGAAGAGGACUACAUGUUAUCUAAUCCAUAUCAUUUGCUUGGAGUUUUCUCAUCUCAGGUGUUCCAAGAUUCUCCACGGGAUAAAAUGUGGAGGAAGAACCAUUCACCAAUUUAUGAAAUGGAGAAACAUUGCAACAUCGAAAUUGCAGCCCAGAUUUCACGAGUCCCAUCUGCCCAAAAUGAUGGAGAUCGUGAUCGGUAUCAUAUAGAAGGACUAAUGGAGAGUCCUGCAGUGGAUGAUGAUGGGGACUGCUUCUCACCCUUAUUGUUGAAUGCAACUUCUGUCAACAUUGAGGUCUAUUAUAAUAAAGCAGUGAAUUAUACCUUGAUGGUCACAUUUGUUUCUUUCCUUCAAGUUCUGCUGUUGAUUCGGCAAAUGGAACAUAGCAACACUCAAUCUGGAGCUGCCAAAGUUUCAAUUCUAAUGAUUGGUCAACAGGCCAUCAUGGAUGCUUAUCUUUGCUUGAUACAUCUGACAGCAGGAAUACUAGUUGCAUUCGAUUGGAGAAAUUUGUCUAAGAAUGCCAAUGGAGGCCUUGGCCCUGAAUCAGAAGAGUCCUUAUUCAAUGCCUUUGCAACGGCUGCUUUUUUCAAGUUUGUAGUCUUCUCAAUUUUUGAGAUGAGAUAUCUCCUAGCUAUAUGGAAGGCAAAUAGGCCCAUGAAUAAUGGAGAAGGUUGGGAAACAAUGAGGCGUGAACUUUCGGUUCUAUAUAGCCGAUUUUAUGGGAUUCUUUUAGGAGGCAUUCUAAUUAUGUAUGAGUUUCAUAAUUUUCUGAGACCUAUUCUUCUCCUUAUGUACUGUUUUUGGAUACCUCAAAUUGUCACCAAUGUCAUUCGCGAUUCGAGAAAACCUCUACAUCCACAUUAUGUCAUAGGCGUGACUGUUACUCGGCUUGCAAUUCCAUUAUAUAUAUUUGGCUGCCCGAACAAUUUCAUGCGCAUUGAACCUGACCAGAGUUGGUGUAUUUGUUUGGUUGUAUUUAUUGGACUUCAAUCAGCAGUUCUUCUUCUUCAGCACUAUCUUGGGUCUCGGUGGUUCAUUCCUCGUCAGAUUCUACCUGAGAAAUACAGCUACUAUAGAAGGUUCGAUCAAAAUACAAGUAAUGCUACUGACUGUGUCAUUUGCAUGACUGCCAUCGAUAUCACACAACGGUCAAAUGAUUGCAUGGUAACACCUUGUGAUCAUUUCUUCCAUUCCGGUUGUUUACAAAGGUGGAUGGAUGUAAAGAUGGAAUGCCCAACUUGUCGGCGUCCACUACCGCCGGCCUGAUCCUGGUUCCUUCUUCUAUGUCCAUAUUGUAGGAUCAACUGACAUACCGAACUCACUAAUUUUGGUUGGCUAUAGAUUUCAUACUCGGUUGAGAAAAUCUCCGGAUAGAGUGAUAUACAACUCCCUAUAUCAACUUCCAAUUGGUCAAAGUGAUAUUAUUGCUGCUCCAGUCUAUUUUUAUUUUUGUAGUUUGUAUGUAUUAUGUAAUUUUAGCUUAAAGGGAAACAUUCUCUUUUUCCUUCAUUUGAUACUGAAUUUUAUUACUUUUAGGUUAAUAGAUAUGAGUAAAAUUUUAUGAGAUGAAAAGGAGAAAAGAAAAAGAAAAUCAUAGCGGAAAUGGCACUUGGUAUUGAUCAA